GCCACGUCCUCCGCGGCCGCGUCCUCGGGCCCGCGGGGAGGCUCGCGGGCAUCCGCGCUGCCACUGAGCCGGCGGAAGCUUGGCGAACUCUUUCCUUCCGAUUCCCCGAAACGAGCAGCGGAACUUGCAGCCUCGGGGCUGUUCUCUGUCAGACAAGGAAAGUACCUUUGAUUCACUUCUGAGUCCUCUCAACACCGUACCAGCUGAGCACAAGGGAAGCCCAGGAAUACUGGGUGCAGGUGGAUUCUUUACCAUCUGAGCCACAGAGGUUUCAUUCCUGCCUUCCUAACAAGUGCCGCCUUUAUAGUCCUGGAGGAAGUAGCUGCUGGAGGAGGAGCCAGAUGAAGGCCUUUUCCCUCUGACCGUAGGUGGGGGUGUCUGUACAGAAGGAAGGGUCACCUGCUCCCCGCUGCCAGUCUCCAUGUGGCUGGAAGAAGAGAUGAAACCUGCAGGAAAAAGGGGAGAAGAUAAGUCCUUGAGGCCUCGAAGAGGAAGGAAAUGGAGCUUCCACUGGUUCCCUAAGGACAGAAAGCUGAAGGCUGGGAGCUGUCCCACAGACAUAGAAGCCAGCAGGGACAAGGCAGCCGGGACGAACUUGGCCACAGAGGACAGGAGGAUGCCGGAACUUCAAGCAGCUCACGAGUCAUGGAAAAAUCUGCUUAGGAGCUAGAGUCAGGAUGCUCAGGGCCAGACCUGGGGAGAAGCCCCCACUCCCCUUGCUCAGCCUGUGUGUGCAGGCAAGAUCCGGUGUGGGCUGGCCUCCCCGCCGGCAGAGGACACAAGCCGUGGGCACCGGGCCGCAGACUCACGUGUCACCUCUCCUUGGCAGAAAAGAACCCCCAUGGACUGUAACUUUCGCCGAAGCCCCUGGAGCAGACACCAGGGGUCAAACCAACCCUCGUUCUCCAGCCCUGUGAGGAGAAAGAAGACUCGUGAAGGGGGCCUAGGACCCUCCUCUCCUGUUGUCUUCCCCACACCCCUUGACUCUUCUUCAGGAAUCGUAAGCUGCGGAAUGUCAUGUUGACCGACUGCACCAGAGCUAGAUCCUAUGAAAGGACAGAGAGUUGGCCUGGCCCGGGGGAGGUCCUGCCAGCCAGGAGGACACCUUCCUUGGCUGCGGGGUGCUGAGACUUCUAACCUGAGGCGCCCCUCAACCUCUGACCCCCUCUCCAAGCAAGGCUCACCGUAUG